CCUACGGGUGGCAGCAGUGAGGAAUAUUGGUCAAUGGGCGGCAUCCUGAACCAGCCAUGCCGCGUGCAGGACGACGGCCCUACGAGUUGUAAACCGCUUUUGUAUGGGGGUAAAAUGUCUUACGAGUAGGGUUUUGAAAGUACCGUACGAAUAAGCAUCGGCUAACUCCUGGCCAGCAGCCGCGGUAAUACGGAGGAUGCGAGCGUUAUCCGGAUUUAUUGGGGUUAAAGGGUGGGGAGGUUGCUAUAUAAGUUAGCGGUAAAAUAUUGAGGCUCCACAUCGGUGCCGCCGCUAAUACUGUAGAGCUAGAGAUCGGAUGCGGCAGGCGGAAUGUGUUGUGUAGCGGUGAAAUGCAUAGAUAUAACACAGAACACCGAUAGCGAAGGCAGCUUGCCAGGCUGAAUCUGACGCUGAUGCACGAGAGCGUGGGGAUCGAACAGGAUUAGAUACCCUGGUAGUC
rnacentral:rRNA from 1 species